AUGAACGCUGGCGGCGUGCCUAAUACAUGCAAGUCGAGCGAACAGAUGAGGAUCUUGCUCCUCUGACGUUAGCGGCGGACGGGUGAGUAACACGUGGAUAACCUACCUAUAAGACUGGGAUAACUUCGGGAAACCGGAGCUAAUACCGGAUAAUAUAUUGAACCGCAUGGUUCAAUAGUGAAAGUCGGUUUUGCUGUCACUUAUAGAUGGAUCCGCGCCGCAUUAGCUAGUUGGUAAGGUAACGGCUUACCAAGGCCACGAUGCGUAGCCGAACUGAGAGGGUGAUCGGACACACUGGAACUGAGACACGGUCCAGACUCCUACGGGAGGCAGCAGUAGGGAAUCUUCCGCAAUGGGCGAAAGCCUGACGGAGCAACGCCGCGUGAGUGAUGAAGGUCUUCGGAUCGUAAAACUCUGUUAUUAGGGAAGAACAAAUGUGUAAGUACCUAUGCACGUCUUGACGGUACCUAAUCAGAAAGCCACGGCUAACUACGUG
rnacentral:rRNA from 1 species